rnacentral:rRNA from 1 species
GCUAAAAUUCUAGCCCCAUCCUCCCUAAUGAAACUACGAAAUCUUAAUUUUUUUAAUUAAAACAUUCUAACAGUCCAGUAAAGGCGAUUGAAAAACUAAUCGGAGCAAUAUAUAAAGUACCGCAAGGGAAAGAUGAAAUACAAUGAAACACUUCAAGCACAAAAAAGUAGAGAUUUAUCCUCGUACCUUUUGCAUCAUGGUUUAACUAGUCCAACCAAGCAAAAAGACUUUAAGUUUGACCUCCCGAAACUAAGCGAGCUACUUCAAGGCAGCCUAUCGAGCCAACCCGUCUCUGUUGCAAAAGAGUGGGAAGACCUUCAAGUAGAGGUGACAGACCUAACGAGCCUAGUGAUAGCUGGUUACUCAAGAAAAAGAUUUAGUCUAACCUAAAGUCAACUUAAUAAUGAAAAAUAAAAAUUUGACUUUAGAGCCAUUCAAAUAAGGUACAGCCUAUUUGAAACAGGACACAACCUCGACUAACGGGUAAGCUAAUGAUCUUACACAACCAAGUGGGCCUAAAAGCAGCCACCUUCAAGAUAGCGUCAAAGCUUAAUUAUGUUAACAUUUAAUCUCCACAAUUUUCACCAACCCUUUAUUUAUAUUGAGUAAUUCUAUACGCUUAUAGAACUUUUUAUGUUAAAACUAGUAACAAGAAGAAGACCUUCUCUUAAAUGCAAGUAUAAAUCAGGAAGGACACACCACUGAUGAUUAACAUCUAUGAACAAAAAGUAGUAACCAAACAAGAAAACCCUACUUAUUUUUAUGUUAAUCUAACACAAGAGCAUUCCAAGAAAGAUUGAAAGAAAAAGAAGGAACUCGGCAAAUAUUAACCUCGCCUGUUUACCAAAAACAUCGCCUCUUGUAAAACCAUAAGAGGUCCAGCCUGCCCAGUGACUCUGUUCAACGGCCGCGGUAUCCUAACCGUGCGAAGGUAGCGUAAUCACUUGUUCUUUAAAUGAGGACUAGUAUGAAUGGCACCACGAGGGUUAUACUGUCUCCUUUUUCCAAUCAGUGAAACUAAUCUCCCCGUGAAGAAGCGGGGAUUAAUUUAUAAGACGAGAAGACCCUAUGGAGCUUUAAACAAGAUAACAAUUGCUAAUUAAUAUACUUAUUUCAGAAAACUAGACUUCACCUUAGCACUCUGAUUAUCAGUUUUAGGUUGGGGUGACCGCGGAGUAAAAAUUAACCUCCACAUUGAAAUGGAAUUUUAUCCUAAGCAAAAAGCUACAACUUUAUGCAUCAGAAAACUGACAUUAAUUGACCCAAUAUUUUGAUCAACGAACCAAGUUACCCUAGGGAUAACAGCGCAAUCCACUUCAAGAGCUCAUAUCGACAAGUGGGUUUACGACCUCGAUGUUGGAUCAGGGUAUCCCAGUGGUGCAGCCGCUACUAAAGGUUCGUUUGUUCAACGAUUAAAACCCU